rnacentral:rRNA from 1 species
UACGAAGGGGGCUAGCGUUGCUCGGAAUCACUGGGCGUAAAGGGUGCGUAGGCGGGUCUUUAAGUCAGGGGGGAAAUCCUGGAGCUCAACUCCAGAACUGCCUUUGAUACUGGAAGGCUUGAAUCCGGGAGAGGGAUGUGGAAUUCCAGGUGUAGCGGUGAAAUGCGUAGAUAUCUGGAGGAACACCGGUGGCGAAGGCGGCAUCCUGGACCGGUAUUGACGCUGAGGCGCGAAAGCUAGGGGAGCAAACGGG